rnacentral:rRNA from 1 species
UACGUAGGGGGCAAGCGUUGUCCGGAUUUAUUGGGCGUAAAGAGCGUGUAGGCGGCCAGGUAGGUCGGUUGUGAAAACUCGAGGCUCAACCUCGAGAUGUCGACCGAAACCAUCUGGCUAGAGUCCGGAAGAGGAGAAUGGAAUUCCCGGUGUAGCGGUGAAAUGCGCAGAUAUCGGGAGGAACACCAGUGGCGAAGGCGACUACCUGGCCUGUUCUUGACGCUGAGGCGCGAAAGCUAGGGGAGCAAACAGG